AGCAGCCGCGGUAAUUCCAGCUCCAAUAGCGUAUAUUAAAGUUGUUGCAGUUAAAAAGCUCGUAGUUGAAUUUCGGGGUUAGUAGGUCGGUCAUGCCUCAGGUAUGUACUGGUCUCACUGAUUCCUCCUUCCUGAUGAGCCGUAAUGCCAUUAAUUUGGUGUUGCGGGGAAUCUGGACUGUUAACCUUGAAAAAAUUAGAGUGUUUAAAGCAGGCUAACGCUUGAAUACAUUAGCAUGGAAUAAAUGGAAUAGGACGUUCGAUCCUAUUUUGUUGGUUUCUAGGAUUGACGUAAUGAUUAAUAGGGAUAGUUGGGGGCAUUAGUAUUCAAUUGUCAGAGGUGAAAUUCUUGGAUUUAUUGAAGACUAACUACUGCAAAAGCAUUUGCCAAGGAUGUUUUCAUUAAUCAAGAACGAAAGUUAGGGGAUUGAAGACGAUCAGAUACCGUCGUAGUCUUAACCAUAAACUAAUGCCGACUAGGGAUCGGAUGAUGUAAUUUUUAAUGA
rnacentral:rRNA from 1 species